CCUCGGUGAGAUUUGGAGCGGUGGGAUGGGGAGGCUGAUGUUGGCAGUGGGGUUAGGAGCAUCAGCCCUGGGAAGACCGUCAGGAGAAUGCAUUAGUGCUAGGUGCAGUAUGCAUCAUCUCAAGUUUGUCUGGCAGUGGGCAUACCUCUCCCCUGAGACUCCAAUUUAUUUAUACAGAUGAAGGCUUAGCUGGCUUGUGUGGGAUGAGGAAGAGGUCAAUAGCAGUGGACAGCACUUCCAUCUUCAGAACACCCAACAUGGCCCAUGGCGGUGGGGGGCCACCACUGCCCCCCAGGGAUGCUACACAGCGCCAAAGAGAGGGAAGAAAAAAGCAUGACAGAAAACCCCAACCUUUGCUACAACCAGCUGUGAAUGGAGGAUUUCCAAGCCUGAGUUAAAACUGGGAUCUCUGCCUCAGAAGUUGAAUCUGCCUUGCUGCUGUAUUUUGUAAAUACUUGGGGCCUCAGGCUUGGAAAGCAAAGCAUGGAAAGCAAUGCUUGGAGAAGGCUGCUAAUGACCUGGAAGAUGACCGAUAUUUAUCCUCACUGAAUUGACAGUAAAUCUGAAAGGGAUAACUGCAGCUUGAUUUUAGUACAAAUUCUUCAGCUUUACAGCUCCACAAGCUGGGUUAGAUUCCUACUGUGCAGACUGUA